GCCAAAUUCUGGUCUUUUUUGUGGACACAGCUUGUGACACUAAUUGAGUGUCUUAUUUUGACGAGCAGAAACAAUGUCGUAUGCUCCUGCAUUGGUGAUGUCGGUCUUUGUGGCUGCAGAAGCCCUCCCACCCCAACCCACGGAAGCACUCCCACCCCAACCGCCAGCCCCCCAACC